UACGUAGGGUGCGAGCGUUGUCCGGAAUUAUUGGGCGUAAAGAGCUCGUAGGUGGCGGGUCACGUCGGGUGUGAAAGCCCGGGGCUUAACUCCGGGUCUGCAUUCGAUACGGGUCUGCUGGGGUCCGGCAGGGGAGACUGGAAUUCCUGGUGUAGCGGUGAAAAUGCGCAGAUAUCAGGAGGAACACCGGUGGCGAAGGCGGGUCUCUGGGCCGGUACCGACGCUGAGGAGCGAAAGCGUGGGAGCGAACAG
rnacentral:rRNA from 1 species